GCAGUGGGUACGGGCAGGCUAGAGUGCGGUAGGGGAGAUGGGAAUUCCUGGUGUAGCGGUGGAAUGCGCAGAUAUCAGGAGGAACACCAAUGGCGAAGGCACAUCUCUGGGCCGUAACUGACGCUGAGGAGCGAAGGCGUGGGGAGCGAACAGGAUUAGAUACCCUGGUAGUCCACGCCGUAAACGGUGGGUGCUAGCUGUGGGCCACAUUCCACGUGGUCCGUGACGAAGUUAACACAUUAAGCACCCCGCCUGGGGAGUACGGCCGCAAGGCUAAAACUCAAAGGAAUUGACGGGGGCCCGCACAAGCGGCGGAGCAUGCGGAUUAAUUCGAUGCAAUGCGAAGAACCUUACCAAGGCUUGACAUAUAGAGGAAAAGUGCAGAAAUGCACUCCCCGCAAGGUCUCUAUACAGGUGGUGCAUGGUUGUCGUCAGCUCGUGUCGUGAGAUGUUGGGUUAAGUCCCGCAACGAGCGCAACCCUCGUCCUAUGUUGCCAGCACGUAAUGGUGGGAACUCAUGGGAUACUGCCGGGGUCAACUCGGAGGAAGGUGGGGAUGACGUCAAAUCAUCAUGCCCCUUAUGUCUUGGGCUUCACGCAUGCUACAAUGGCCGGUACAGAGGGCUGCAAUACCGCAAGGUGGAGCGAAUCCCAAAAAGCCGGUCUCAGUUCGGAUUGAGGUCUGCAACUCGACCUCAUGAAGUCGGAGUCGCUAGUAAUCGUAGAUCAGCAACGCUACGGUGAAUACGUUUCCCGGGCCUUGUACACA
rnacentral:rRNA from 1 species